rnacentral:rRNA from 1 species
UGGGCGAAAGCCUGACGCAGCCAUGCCGCGUGUAUGAUGAAGGUCUUAGGAUUGUAAAAUACUUUCGCCGGGGAAGAUAAUGACUGUAGCCGGAGAAGAAGCCCCGGCUAACUUCGUG